rnacentral:rRNA from 1 species
UAGUCCACGCCGUAAACGAUGCACACUGGGUGCCGGAUGCUCUGACGUAUUCGGCGCCGAAGCAAAAGUGCUAAGUGUGCCGCCUGGGGAGUACGGCCGCAAGGCUAAAACUCAAAGGAAUUGACGGGGGCUCACACAAGCGGUGGAGCAUGUGGCUUAAUUCGAAGCAACGCGAAGAACCUUACCCGGGCUUGACAUGCUUGGAUGCCUCCUGGGGAUAACUCAGGUUGGUUGCCCUUCGGGGUGAAACUUGCACAGGUGUUGCACGGCUGUCGUCAGCUCGUGCUGUGAAGUGUCGGGUUAAGUCCCUUAACGAGCGAAACCCCUGUCGUUAGUUGCCAGCGCGUUAUGGCGGGGACUCUAACGAGACUGCCGGCGUUAAGCCGGAGGAAGGUGGGGAUGACGUCAAGUCAUCGUGGCCCUUAUGUCCGGGGAUGCACACGUGCUACAAUGGUAGGUACAGAGGGCAGCAAGACCGCGAGGUGGAGCAAAUCCCAAGAAACCUGCCUCAGUUCGG